rnacentral:snRNA from 1 species
CCCGCUUCUCGGCCUCUGGCUGAGAUCGCCUGCGGUAUCUGCUCUUAUCAGUUUAACAGCUGCUAUGUCCUCUGUCUGAGGACAACACUUUAAAUGGAUUUUUGCAGCAAGGAGAUGGAAUGGGAGCUUGCCCCGCCCACUCCACGCAUCGACCUGGUGUUGCAGUACCUCCCGGAAAGGUGCACCCCCU